AAAAACAUAGCACCCUACCUCACUAGCUGCCUCUCACCAGCUAUUCAUACCUUACAUGGCCUACACAGCCGUUCCCCAUAGAGAUAGCUUAACACCUCUGUACGUACUUGCAUUUGCCUUUUGUCGCAGGCAUUCCACAGACAUCCAGCCCUGCCAGCUCACCAGGACCACCUGGAAACUUAGCAGAGCACUGUAAUGGACAUCCUUCAGCUCAAAGCAGCCAACGACCUGCAAUGGCAAA